CAGGAAGCUCUUGUUGUCAUUGUGCCUAGAGUAAGGUGCCACAGCAAGAGGCCAAGGUGUCAGCUCCGGGGGACCCAUUCCCACCCCUCUCCCAGACUUCGGCCCACCGCCCGGGGGAGGCAGGCCUGAGGGUUGGAAGACUGGGCAACAGAACAAGAAAAGAAAAGAAAGAAGGAAGGAAUUGAACAGCCAUCUCGAGCUUGAACAACCACCCUGAUGAGUCAGCGGCCCAUCAGCAUCAAGGGCAAGAACCCCUGGAAAUGUGUGCCGCAUGAACAGAUGGCAGGACGCUGAGGCAGCCAGGUGCCUGCGUGAGUCUUCUCAGGUGUUGAGUUUGGACAGCGCCCCCGAUCUCCAACACAGCAGGUUUGCUGUCACCCAGACUGAAGUGGAGUGGCAUGGUCACAGCUCACUUUGGCCUCAAGCUGCUAAACUCCAGCGAUCCCCCUGCUUCAGCUUCCUGAGUAGCUGAGACCAGGUGAACCGACUAGAUGUUGAUACUGCUCUGCUACAAAGUGAAAGCUCCUAACUCAAACUUACUGGAAAAGGCGUGACGUCUGCAAAGUGCGCUUUAAGAAGAG